rnacentral:rRNA from 1 species
GAUGAACGCUGGCGGCGUGCUUAACACAUGCAAGUCGAACGGAAAGGCCCAAGCUUGCUUGGGUACUCGAGUGGCGAACGGGUGAGUAACACGUGGGUGAUCUGCCCUGCACUUCGGGAUAAGCCUGGGAAACUGGGUCUAAUACCGGAUAGGACCACGUCUUGGAUGUUGUGGUGGAAAGUUUUUUCGGUGUGGGAUGAGCUCGCGGCCUAUCAGCUUGUUGGUGGGGUAAUGGCCUACCAAGGCGUCGACGGGUAGCCGGCCUGAGAGGGUGUACGGCUAGCUGGGCAGUGAGACAGGGCCGCGCAGCGCAGGGGGGGAGUCAGGGGAGAUUAGUGCAGUCGCGGCGGAAGUGUGAUGCGGCGGCGCCGCGGGGGGGAUGACGGCCCGCGGGGUGUAACCUCUUGUAGCUAGGGACGAUGGGUUUUGGCGGCGGUCGCUGGCGAAGAAGCACCGGAGAACCACGUACAAGCAGCCGCGGUUAUACGCGGAAGAGCCCCCGUCCGACC